CUUGCUGUUUAUUCUGAGCUGCUAUAUGUAACCCUGUUCUCCCGAACUAAAAGAUAAAAAGAAGAUAAUUAGAAGAUGCGGACUGUACACUAAAUGAAUUGCCAUCAACCCGUUCUCAUCUUUGGCUUUGAUCAAAUUUGGGUCAGUGUCCAGGAUUCUUUGAACAUUUGCCAGUUCUCCAUUGACUAUGGAAGCAUGAAGUGUCCGUAUGCUGUCAAGAAGAUGUGGAUACCUCGACGUUUGUGUAAUGGUGAUGAAGCUUGAUGACCAUCUCCACUUUUACGCUUAUAAUGAGCUGCUAAUCGAGAAAGUUCGGAAGGUAAUGGCAUAAAAUGGACUCUAUAAUAUUCAGCUGUUUUACCAACCUAAUCAAAACAAAAUGGAGUUGUUUAAGACUAAUUCAUUUAGUCCAUUUUUCUCACCUUAAUUAGUAUUCAAAUCAGUUUCCUGAAGAGGAGGCUUAAUCACAUGCAUAGGAUUCACGGUCAAGUUUGAAAAUAUUAGAAUAAUAGAAUAUCUGACCCUUUUUAAUCCAUUAUAUUCAACUAUUGACUUACAGCAUCACGAGCCCUGGAAUCUGCACCAGAACGGAGAAGCAUUUUAUAAAUUUUGUGACCAUUUUUAUGGGUUGUAGCGGCCGCAUAAUGUAAUGGCGUCCGACCUUCACGAUCUCGA